rnacentral:rRNA from 1 species
GCGCAGCAGGCGAGAAUUUUUCUCAAUGGGGGAAACCCUGAAGGAGCGACGCCGCGUGGAGGAUGAAGGCUUUCGGGUUGUAAACUCCUGUCGUUUGGGAACAAGUUGCACACGUUAACUGCGUGGGCAUUGAUAGUACCAGAAGAGGAAGGGACGGCUAACUCUGUGCCAGCAGCCGCGGUAAUACAGAGGUCCCAAGCGUUGUUCGGAUUCAUUGGGCGUAAAGGGUGCGUAGGUGGCGCUGUAAGUCGGGUGUGAAAUUUCGAGGCUUAACCUCGAAACUGCAUUCGAUACUGCGGUGCUUGAGGACUGGAGAGGAGACUGGAAUUCAUGGUGUAGCAGUGAAAUGCGUAGAGAUCAUGAGGAAGACCAGUGGCGAAGGCGGGUCUCUGGACAGUUCCUGACACUGAGGCACGAAGGCCAGGGGAGC